AAAGUCGUAACAAGGUUUCCGUAGGUGAACCUGCGGAAGGAUCAUUAAAAGAAAAAGAGGCGGGGGCUUCGGCCCCCGAACUCCCAAACCCUUGUGCAAAACGAACGUAAUGUUGGAUUUUGCUUUGGCGGGGUUUCUGCCAAACAAAAACAAAAAUUAUGCCGCAACUGUGCAGUCUGAAAAAAAUUAUAAUAGCGAAAAAACUUUCAACAACGGAUCUCUUGGUUCUG
rnacentral:misc_RNA from 1 species